rnacentral:rRNA from 1 species
AAAGUUUGAUCAUGGCUCAGGAUGAACGCUAGCUACAGGCUUAACGCAUGCAAGUCGAGGGGCAGCAUGGUCUUAGCUUGCUAAGGCCGAUGGCGACCGGCGCACGGGUGAGUAACACGUAUCCAACCUGCCGUCUACUCUUGGACAGCCUUCUGAAAGGAAGAUUAAUACAAGAUGGCAUCAUGAGUCCGCAUGUUCACAUGAUUAAAGGUAUUCCGGUAGACGAUGGGG